UACGGAGGGUGCAAGCGUUACCCGGAAUCACUGGGCGUAAAGGGCGUGUAGGCGGUUAUUUAAGUCUGGUUUUAAAGACCGGGGCUCAACCCCGGGGAUGGACUGGAGACUGGAUGACUAGACCUCUGGAGAGGCAAUCGGAAUUCCCGGUGUAGCGGUGGAAUGCGGUAGACUACCAGGAAGGAACACCAACGGCGGAAGGCAGAUU
rnacentral:rRNA from 1 species